GAAACCGGUUAUCCUGUCGCGCCGAAGUUUUUCGGUGAGGAAAGUCGGGGCACUACAGAGCACCAUACUUCCUAACGGGAAGGUCCCGGAUUCCGGGAACAGCAAGUGCCGCAGAAAAUAACCGCCACCUCGGUGGUAAGGGUGAAAAUGUGAGGUAAGAGCUCACGCAAAAGUGUGGUGACAUGCUUUUGGGGUAAACCUUAUGGAGUGAAAGGUCAUGUAUACCGGGCUUCCGCAUUGCGGAUAAAGGCUGCUCGUCUGAUCCCGGGGGGUAGGCCGUUUGAGGCUGCAGGCAACUGUAGCCCAAGAUAAAUGACAGGACUCGACAGAAUCCCGCUUAUCGACCGGUUUCGUUU
rnacentral:RNase_P_RNA from 1 species